UGGAUGGAUGUUGGAUGACCCACUAGCCCUCGGUAUGUAACAUAUGAAAGUCCAGGGCUGCCCAUGCCAUGCGUCCUGGCACCAUGUAUGAAAGUCCCGGGCUGCCCAUGCCACGCGUCCGGGCAAUUGUGUGUGAUUAUGAGGAAGGAGGGUUAUUGGUGACAAGUCCAUCCUUGAUGUGAAAUGUCUGUGCUAUGAUGCAUUACAUGAAAGCAUGAAUUAUUAAAAUGUAUUAUGGUUCUGCUCACUGGG
rnacentral:lncRNA from 1 species